AUUGAACGCUGGCGGCAGGCUUAACACAUGCAAGUCGAACGAUGAUUAUCUAGCUUGCUAGAUAUGAUUAGUGGCGGACGGGUGAGUAACAUUUAGGAAUCUGCCUAGUAGUGGGGGAUAGCUCGGGGAAACUCGAAUUAAUACCGCAUACGACCUACGGGUGAAAGGGGGCGCAAGCUCUUGCUAUUAGAUGAGCCUAAAUCAGAUUAGCUAGUUGGUGGGGUAAAGGCCCACCAAGGCGACGAUCUGUAACUGGUCUGAGAGGAUGAUCAGUCACACCGGAACUGAGACACGGUCCGGACUCCUACGGGAGGCAGCAGUGGGGAAUAUUGGACAAUGGGGGCAACCCUGAUCCAGCCAUGCCGCGUGUGUGAAGAAGGCCUUUUGGUUGUAAAGCACUUUAAGCAGGGAGGAGAGGCUAAUGGUUAAUACCCAUUAGAUUAGACGUUACCUGCAGAAUAAGCACCGGCUAACUCUGUGCCAGCAGCCGCGGUAAUACAGAGGGUGCGAGCGUUAAUCGGAAUUACUGGGCGUAAAGCGAGUGUAGGUGGCUCAUUAAGUCACAUGUGAAAUCCCCGGGCUUAACCUGGGAACUGCAUGUGAUACUGGUGGUGCUAGAAUAUGUGAGAGGGAAGUAGAAUUCCAGGUGUAGCGGUGAAAUGCGUAGAGAUCUGGAGGAAUACCGAUGGCGAAGGCAGCUUCCUGGCAUAAUAUUGACACUGAGAUUCGAAAGCGUGGGUAGCAAACAGGAUUAGAUACCCUGGUAGUCCACGCCGUAAACGAUGUCUACUAGCCGUUGGGGUCCUUGAGACUUUAGUGGCGCAGUUAACGCGAUAAGUAGACCGCCUGGGGAGUACGGCCGCAAGGUUAAAACUCAAAUGAAUUGACGGGGGCCCGCACAAGCGGUGGAGCAUGUGGUUUAAUUCGAUGCAACGCGAAGAACCUUACCUGGUCUUGACAUAGUGAGAAUCCUGCAGAGAUGCGGGAGUGCCUUCGGGAAUUCACAUACAGGUGCUGCAUGGCUGUCGUCAGCUCGUGUCGUGAGAUGUUGGGUUAAGUCCCGCAACGAGCGCAACCCUUUUCCUUAUUUGCCAGCGGGUUAAGCCGGGAACUUUAAGGAUACUGCCAGUGACAAACUGGAGGAAGGCGGGGACGACGUCAAGUCAUCAUGGCCCUUACGACCAGGGCUACACACGUGCUACAAUGGUAGGUACAGAGGGUUGCUACACAGCGAUGUGAUGCUAAUCUCAAAAAGCCUAUCGUAGUCCGGAUUGGAGUCUGCAACUCGACUCCAUGAAGUCGGAAUCGCUAGUAACCGCAGAUCAGAAUGCUGCGGUGAAUACGUUCCCGGGCCU
rnacentral:rRNA from 1 species